AUUGAACGCUGGCGGCAUGCUUUACACAUGCAAGUCGAACGGCAGCGCGGGCUUCGGCCUGGCGGCGAGUGGCGAACGGGUGAGUAAUGCAUCGGAACGUGCCCAGUAGUGGGGGAUAGCCCGGCGAAAGCCGGAUUAAUACCGCAUACGACCUGAGGGUGAACGCGGGGGACCGAAAGGCCUCGCGCUAUUGGAGCGGCCGAUGUCGGAUUAGCUAGUUGGUUGGGUAAAGGCUUACCAAGGCGACGAUCCGUAGCUGGUCUGAGAGGACGACCAGCCACACUGGGACUGAGACACGGCCCAGACUCCUACGGGAGGCAGCAGUGGGGAAUUUUGGACAAUGGGGGCAACCCUGAUCCAGCCAUGCCGCGUGCGGGAAGAAGGCCUUCGGGUUGUAAACCGCUUUUGUUCGGGAAGAAAUCCUCUGGGCUAAUACCCCGGGGGGAUGACGGUACCGGAAGAAUAAGCACCGGCUAACUACGUG
rnacentral:rRNA from 1 species